rnacentral:misc_RNA from 1 species
AAGUCGUAACAAGGUUUCCGUAGGCGAACCUGCGGAAGGAUCAUUAAUGAAUUAUGAAAGGGGUUGUCGCUGGCUGUUAGCAGCAUGUGCACGCUCUGAUCAUUAUCCAUCUUACACACCUGUGCACACACUGUAAGUAGGCUUUUGAUGCAAAGUAAAGGUCUUCAUUGACUCUGCUUUAAAUUGGGAGCCUGCUUAUGUUUCAUCACACACUACUUCAGUUUAAAGAAUGUCAAAUCGCGUUUAACGCAUUUAAAUACAA